rnacentral:rRNA from 1 species
UAAGUUUAUAUUUGUUUAUUAAUUAGUAUUGCAUACUGUUUAAAGAAAAUUUUAUAAUUAUAAAAAAUAAAAUUAAAAGGUAGAGGUUAUAAAUUUUUUAUUGUUUCAUAAUAAAAAAUAUAUAAUUUAGUGUUGAAAUGUCGACUUUUAAGAUAUUUGUUUAAGAAAUAUGUUUAUUAGAAAUUUAUAAAAUUGUAUUUAUGUUGGGUAAAAAGUAAAAGUUGAAGUAUUUUUUUGUUUAGUUUUAUAACUGUUUAUAAAAUUUUGUAUAAGUAAGAUAAAUGUGUUAAAAUAAUUAUUAAUAUUAUAAUAAUUAAAUUGUUUUAAUAUUAGUAGCUAAAUAAAUUUAAUUUGUGGACUGUGAUAUAAUAUAAUAACUAAAUAAUUAAUCAAAUGUUUAUUAAAGACUUAGACUUUAUAUUAAAGUUUGCUUCUGCCCAAUGAUUAUAUUUAAAUGGCACUCUUAGCGU